AGUGCGAAUCACGUUGUUCGAGGCGUUAGUUCAGCUGUCUGUUGAAUCCCCUGAAACUAAUGCUCAGUCUAUAUUAAUGUCUCAGUCCCGAGAAACCUCAGCCUAUUCUCUCCUAUAAUUAAUCUUGCAGGUGGUGCCUUGACAUUAUUGGUUCACCAACAGAGCAGAACUGCCUCAGCCAUCAAUAAUAAUUCAACGCAUCAGGAUGAGGCCUACGCAUGGGCCACAGAGGAUAUGUAAUGACUUAAGAUACCAACUCCACAUUCUGUGGUAAGAGAUGAAGAUCCAGGAAAUGUAUGGACACCUAUAGCCUGAAGAAUAUUGUCAGAAAAAAACACUGGGAUCUGGAAGCGAAAAGGAAACAUAGAAAACGAGACAGGAAGGUGAAGAAAGUUGAAGAUAAACUUUCUUUUUCACAAUGUUUUUAUGGACAAGUUCAGCCCAUAAAUCAAAAAUUACCUUUAUGGAUGAAAUAUUAGUUAAGUCAAGAUCAUCUUUUUCAUUUCCUACAUGCAGGUUGAAUCUCAUUUAUGGAGUGAGAUGUCAAAUAACAACAAAAAAUGCACUUAAUUUGCAUAAAGAUGCUUGUAAGGUAACAUUGCUCCACACUUUGCUUUAUUCACAUCAUUAGAGGAAAUAUCUUAUUCCUCUAGCUGUUUCUGGCCAUGGCUCAAGGAAUUAAAAACUUCCAUUCAUUCCUUCAGACAGUACAGUUAACAAGAGGAUAACUUUUUUUAUUAUCUCUGUCCUUCUCCCUCAGGAAGCAGAGAAUUAUCAGAUUGGUGAGAGAAAGGAAAUAAAGGUCUGAACAUGUGUCUCAA
ensembl:lncRNA LINC00645 long intergenic non-protein coding RNA 645